rnacentral:rRNA from 1 species
AUUGAACGCUGGCGGCAUGCUUUACACAUGCCAGUCGAACGGCAGCGCGGGCUUCGGCCUGGCGGCGAGUGGCGAACGGGUGAGUAAUACAUCGGAACGUGCCCAGUAGUGGGGGAUAGCUCGGCGAAAGCCGGAUUAAUACCGCAUACGACCUGAGGGUGAAAGCGGGGGAUCUUCGGACCUCGCGCUAUUGGAGCGGCCGAUGGCAGAUUAGCUAGUUGGUGGGGUAAAGGCCUACCAAGGCGGCGAUCUGUAGCUGGUCUGAGAGGACGACCAGCCACACUGGGACUGAGACACGGCCCAGACUCCUACGGGAGGCAGCAGUGGGGAAUUUUGGACAAUGGGCGAAAGCCUGAUCCAGCAAUGCCGCGUGUGUGAUGAAGGCCUUCGGGUUGUAAAGCACUUUUGGCGGGAACGAAAAGGACUGUGCCAAUACCACGGUUCGAUGACGGUACCCGCAGAAUAAGCACCGGCUAACUACGUG